CCUACGGGUGGCAGCAGUGGGGAAUAUUGCACAAUGGGGGAAACCCUGAUGCAGCAACGCCGCGUGAGUGAAGAAGUAUUUCGGUAUGUAAAGCUCUAUCAGCAGGGAAGAAGAUGACGGUACCUGAUUAAGAAGCCCCGGCUAACUACGUGCCAGCAGCCGCGGUAAUACGUAGGGGGCAAGCGUUAUCCGGAUUUACUGGGUGUAAAGGGAGCGCAGACGGCAGUGCAAGUCUGGAGUGAAAGCCCGGGGCUCAACCCUGUACAUGCUUUUGGAACUGUGGUGCUAGAGUGCAGGAGAGGUAAGUGGAAUUCCUAGUGUAGCGGUGAAAUGCGUAGAUAUUAGGAGGAACACCAGUGGCGAAGGCGGCUUACUGGACUGUAACUGACGUUGAGGCUCGAAAGCGUGGGGAGCAAACAGGAUUAGAUACCCUUGUAGUC
rnacentral:rRNA from 1 species